rnacentral:rRNA from 1 species
AUUGAACGCUGGCGGCAUGCCUUACACAUGCAAGUCGAACGGCAGCAUGGAAGAGCUUGCUCUUCUGAUGGCGAGUGGCGAACGGGUGAGUAAAGCAUCGGAACGUACCGUGUAGUGGGGGAUAACGUAGCGAAAGUUACGCUAAUACCGCAUACGCACUGAGGUGGAAAGCAGGGGAUCGCAAGACCUUGCGCUAUACGAGCGGCCGAUGUCAGAUUAGCUAGUUGGUAGGGUAAAGGCCUACCAAGGCGACGAUCUGUAGCGGGUCUGAGAGGAUGAUCCGCCACACUGGGACCGAGACACGGCCCAGACUCCUACGGGAGUCAGCAGUGGGGAAUUUUGGACAAUGGGGGAAACCCUGAUCCAGCCAUGCCGCGUGAGUGAAGAAGGCCUUCGGGUUGUAAAGCUCUUUCGGCUGGGAAGAAAUCGCACUGGCUAAUACUCUGUGUGGAUGACGGUACCAGUACAAGAAGCACCGGCUAACUACGUGCCAGCAGCCGCCGUAA